AGAGUUUGAUCCUGGCUCAGGAUGAACGCUGGCGGCGUGCCUAAUACAUGCAAGUCGAGCGCAACUUCUUAUACCGAACCUUCGGGUUCACUUUAAGAGUUGAGCGGUGGACGGGUGAGUAACACGUAGGCAACCUACCCUUAAGACUGGGAUAACUACGGGAAACCGUAGCUAAUACCGGAUAAUAUCUUUACUCAAAAGAGUAGAGAUUGAAAGAUGGAUUUUCUAUCACUUAAGGAUGGGCCUGCGGCGCAUUAGCUAGUUGGUGAGGUAGUAGCUCACCAAGGCGACGAUGCGUAGCCGACCUGAGAGGGUGAUCGGCCACACUGGGACUGAGACACGGCCCAGACUCCUACGGGAGGCAGCAGUAGGGAAUCUUCCGCAAUGGACGCAAGUCUGACGGAGCAACGCCGCGUGUGUGAUGAAGGAUUUCGGUUCGUAAAGCACUGUUGUUAAGGAAGAAUAGUAGUAAGAGUAACUGUUUACUAAUUGACGGUACUUAACCAGAAAGCCACGGCUAACUACGUGCCAGCAGCCGCGGUAAUACGUAGGUGGCAAGCGUUAUCCGGAAUUAUUGGGCGUAAAGCGCGCGUAGGCGGCAAGAUUAGUCUGAUGUGAAAGCCCCCGGCUCAACCGGGGAGGGUCAUUGGAAACUGUCUUGCUUGAGUGCAGAAGAGGAGAGUGGAAUUCCAUGUGUAGCGGUGAAAUGCGCAGAGAUAUGGAGGAACACCAGUGGCGAAGGCGGCUCUCUGGUCUGCAACUGACGCUGAUGUGCGAAAGCGUGGGGAUCAAACAGGAUUAGAUACCCUGGUAGUCC
rnacentral:rRNA from 1 species